CGAGCGAGUGGGGUCUCCGCUCGGUUACUGCGCUGGAGGGUGUCGUGGCGGCCUGCUCUGCGAGAAGUUACCCGGGCUGCCCCUUCUGCAUUGUCAGACCCGGACGGUUCGUGUCAAUGUGACCCAUCAAUGAGGGAAGCUGCAUUCCAGAGAACAAGACUCCCUGUGUUUAUUCUUUGGACAAGGGUUUGGAAAUGUAGCAGGUGAUGUACUUCUGCCUGUGUCUCCAGGUGUGCAAGUACUGGUGAGAAAUGGCCAGACCACCUCUUCCUGUAAUCCUGCGCCUUGUCCUCAGCAUCCUCACAAGUAUUAAUUGAAUGGGCUAGUAAGGGAGAGAUGGAGAGUACUAUUCUUUUUAGCAAAUAUAUGCUAGGCAAUUAUUCUGCAACCAAAUAACUGUUCAGUAUGUCACUGUAUUUCUUCAUUAGUAUGCAUAUUAUGUCAAAUAAUUGCCACCAGGCUUUUGUUUUAAGUGCAGUCAUACUAGGGGUAUUUAGUGAUUGUUACAUUACUCUCUGCCCUGAAAUACAAAAAUAAAGAGAUUGGCACUCA